AUUGAACGCUGGCGGCAGGCUUAACACAUGCAAGUCGAGCGAGAGGCGGACGGGUGAGUAAUGUAUGGGAAACUGCCUGAUGGAGGGGGAUAACUACGGGAAACGGUAGCUAAUACCGCAUACCAUCGGAUGUGCAGAGAUGGGAUUAGCUAGUAGGUGGGGUAAUGGCUGACAUAGGCGACGAUCCCUAGCUGGUCUGAGAGGAUGACCAGCCACACUGCAACUGAGACACGGUCCAGACUCCUACGGGAGGCAGCAGUGGGGAAUAUUGGACAAUGGGCGCAAGCCUGAUGCAGCCAUGCCGCGUGUGUGAAGAAGGCCUUCGGGUUGUAAAGCACUUUCAGCGAGGAGGCGUUACUCGCAGAAGAAGCACCGGCUAACUCCGUGCCAGCAGCCGCGGUAAUUC
rnacentral:rRNA from 1 species